rnacentral:rRNA from 1 species
GACGAACGCUGGCGGCGUGCUUAACACAUGCAAGUCGAACGGUAAGGCCCCAGCGUGCUGGGGUACACGAGUGGCGAACGGGUGAGUAACACGUGGGUGACCUGCCCCGCACUUCGGGAUAAGCCUGGGAAACUGGGUCUAAUACAGGAUUCGACAGCACCGUGAGGGAGUGGGGGAAAGUUUUUCGGGGUGGGAUGGGCCCGCGGCCUAUCAGCUUGUUGGUGGGGUAAUGGCCUACCAAGGCGGCGACGGGUAGCCGGCCUGAGAGGGUGGCCGGCCACAUCGGGACUGGGACACGGCCCAGACUCCUACGGGAGGCAGCAGUGGGGUAUAUUGCACAAUGGGCUGAAGCCUAAUGCAGCGACGCCGCGUGGGGGAUGACGGCCUUCGGGUUGUAAACUCCUUUCACCAUCGACGAAGGUUUUCUGACGGUAGAUGGAGAAGAAGCACCGGCUAACUACGUG